GCACUGCCGAAGAGUCCCAUACUAAGACGAAACGGCCGUUCAGUGC
rnacentral:hammerhead_ribozyme from 1 species